rnacentral:rRNA from 1 species
GCCAGCAGCAAUUACUCUGCAGCUCUCGCCUGGUCGCUCACUGAAGCUAAGCAGGGUUGAGCCUGGUCACUACCUGGAUGGGAGGCCUCCUGGGAAAACUAGGUUGCUGCUGGAA